AAUCAUCUGAGAGAGAGAAAGAGAGAGAAAAUGGAGAGAAAAAUGGAAGCGUUCUUAGCAAGGUUGGAGAAACUCGAGAUUCUACGUCGGAAAAACCAAAACGCUAUGGCGAUCCUUCUCGAGAAACUGGCAACGAUGAAGAAGAAGAGGUAGAUCCGAGUGUGAAGAAUGCGGCGGCAAAUCAGUCGAAAAUUACAAUGACGAUGAAUGAUGGAUAUGCAUAUGUGACAAUGUUGACGAUGCAACAUAUGAAUCCAACGAUCAAGGGCUGGAUCUGUUGAUUGAACUCAGCAUAAGUUCCUGAAAGUGAUUGACGCUAUGAACAAAACCUCAACCCCAUAAACAUCAAAAUACAUAUAGGAC
rnacentral:lncRNA from 1 species